UACAGAGGUCUCAAGCGUUGUUCGGAUUCAUUGGGCGUAAAGGGUGCGUAGGCGGCGCGGUAAGUCGGGUGUGAAAUCUUGGAGCUUAACUCCGAAACUGCAUUCGAUACUGCCGUGCUUGAGGACUGGAGAGGAGACUGGAAUUUACGGUGUAGCGGUGAAAUGCGUAGAUAAUCGUAAGGAAGACCAGUGGCGAAGGCGGGUCUCUGGACAGGUUCCUGACGCUGAGGCACGAAGGCCAGGGGAGCAAACGGG
rnacentral:rRNA from 1 species